CUUAAUGGGGGGGCAAUUCAGUGGCCGGCACCCCCGUUAUCCCCAGCCCCAGUAAUUCCAGUUAAAAUAGCGGAUAUUAAAAAGGUUGCAGUUAAACUGGUGGCAUGCGUGCCCGGUGCCUUUUUCGCGGGUACUUGUAUGUGCCGGCCCCUUCCCCCAAGGCACCCCCUCCCUCUCUCUGGCUUUGUGGGGAACCAGGACUUUUACUUUGAAAAAAUUAGAGUGUUCAAAGCAGGCCUUUGCUUGAAUACAUUAGCAUGGAAUAAUAGAAUAGGACGUUUUGGUUCUAUUUUGUUGGUUUCUAGGCCCCUCGUAAUGAUUAAUAGGGACGGUCGGGGGCACCAGUAUUCAGUUGUCAGAGGUGAAAUUCUUGGAUUUAUUGAAGACUAACUACUGGGAAAGCAUUUCCCAAGGACGUUUUCAUUAAUCAAGAACGAAAGUUAUGGAUCGAAGAGAUCUGCGCCCCCGCAGUAGAC
rnacentral:rRNA from 1 species